AUUGAACGCUGGCGGCAGGCCUAACACAUGCAAGUCGAACGAGUGGCGGACGGGUGAGUAAUGUCUGGGACACUGCUUGAUGGAGGGGGAUAACUACUGGAAACGGUAGCUAAUACCGCAUACCCUCAGAUGUGCCCAGAUUGGAUUAGCUAGUUGGUGAGUUAACGGCUCACCAAGGCGACGAUCCCUAGCUGGUCUGAGAGGAUGACCAGCCACACUGGAACUGAGACACGGUCCAGACUCCUACGGGAGGCAGCAGUGGGGAAUAUUGCACAAUGGGCGCAAGCCUGAUGCAGCCAUGCCGCGUGUAUGAUGAAGGCCUUCGGGUUGUAAAGUACGUUCAGCGGGGAGGCGUUACCCGAAGAAGAAGCACCGGCUAACUCCGUGCCAGCAGCCGCGGUAAUAC
rnacentral:rRNA from 1 species